GACGAACGCUGGCGGCGUGCCUAAUACAUGCAAGUUGAGCGCUGAAGGUUGGUACUUGUACCAACUGGAUGAGCAGCGAACGGGUGAGUAACGCGUGGGUAAUCUGCCUUUGAGCGUGGGACAACAUUUGGAAACGAAUGCUAAUACCGCAUAAAAACUUUAAACACAAGUUUUAAGUUUGAAAGAUGCAAUUGCAUCACUCAAAGAUGGUCCCGCGUUGUAUUAGCUAGUUGGUGAGGUAAAGGCUCACCAAGGCGAUGAUACAUAGCCGACCUGAGAGGGUGAUCGGCCACAUUGGGACUGAGACACGGCCCAAACUCCUACGGGAGGCAGCAGUAGGGAAUCUUCGGCAAUGGACGAAAGUCUGACCGAGCAACGCCGCGUGAGUGAAGAAGGUUUUCGGAUCGUAAAACUCUGUUGGUAGAGAAGAACGUUGGUGAGAGUGGAAAGCUCAUCAAGUGACGGUAACUAACCAGAAAGGGACGGCUAACUACGUG
rnacentral:rRNA from 1 species